AACUUUUGGCAAUGGAUCUCUUGGCUCUCGCAUCGAUGAAGAACGCAGCGAAAUGCGAUAAGUAAUGUGAAUUGCAGAAGUCAGUGAAUCAUCGAAUCUUUGAACUCACCUUGCGCUCCUUGGUAUUCUGAGGAGCAUGCCUGUUUGAGUGUCUUGAAAUUCUCAACUGCUUUAGCUUUUGUGGUUGAAGUAAAGUUGGAUUUGGAGGAAUAAUUGCUGGCGUAACCUUUUAAGGUUGCUUGUUAGCUCCUCUUAAAUGGAUGAACUUUCCAGUAGUGUAAAAGUAACACCAAUGUGAUAAUUAUCUACGUUGGAUGAACUUGUACAAGGAAAGAUGAAUCUGUCUUGGACCCCCUUGACGAAACAAAUGACAAAUUUGACCUCAAAUCAGGUAGGACUACCCGCUGAACUUAAGCAUAUCAAUAAGCGGAGGCU
rnacentral:misc_RNA from 1 species